GACGAACGCUGGCGGCGUGCUUAACACAUGCAAGUCGAACGGUGAAGGGACCAGCUUGCUGGUUCUGGAUGAGUGGCGAACGGGUGAGUAACACGUGAGUAACCUGCCCCCUUCUUCUGGAUAACCGCAUGAAAGUGUGGCUAAUACGGGAUAUUCUGGGUCUGUCGCAUGGCGGGCCCGGGAAAGAUAUUGCUUCGGUGGGGGAUGGGCUCGCGGCCUAUCAGCUUGUUGGUGGGGUGAUGGCCUACCAAGGCGGGGACGGGUAGCCGGCCCGAGGGGGGGGGAGGGUCCAACGGGGACUGGGACACGGCCCCGACUCCGAGGGGGGGGAGCGGUGGGGAAUUUUGCACAAGGGGGGCAAGCCUGAUGCAGGGACGCCGGGUGGGGGAUGGGGGCCUUGGGGUUGUAAACCUUUUUGGCAAGGGAAGCAGGCCUGCUCCUUGUGGGUGGGUGGCGGGUAGCGGGAUAAGAAGCCCCGGCAAACUACUG
rnacentral:rRNA from 1 species